rnacentral:rRNA from 1 species
GAUGAACGCUGGCGGCGUGCUUAACACAUGCAAGUCGAACGAAGCACUUAAGAUUGAUUCUUCGGAUGACGUCUUUUGUGACUUAGUGGCGGACGGGUGAGUAACGCGUGGGUAACCUGCCUCACACAGGGGGAUAACAGUUAGAAAUGACUGCUAAUACCGCAUAACCCGAUAGGAUCGCAUGAUCCAGACGGAAAAGAUUUAUCGGUGUGAGAUGGACCCGCGUCUGAUUAGCUAGUUGGUGAGGUAACGGCCCACCAAGGCGACGAUCAGUAGCCGGCCUGAGAGGGUGAACGGCCACAUUGGGACUGAGACACGGCCCAAACUCCUACGGGAGGCAGCAGUGGGGAAUAUUGCACAAUGGGGGAAACCCUGAUGCAGCGACGCCGCGUGAGUGAAGAAGUAUUUCGGGAUGUAAAGCUCUAUCAGCAGGGAAGAAAAUGACGGUACCUGACGAAGAAGCCCCGGCUAACUACGUG